rnacentral:rRNA from 1 species
AGCGAACGCUGGCGGCAGGCUUAACACAUGCAAGUCGAACGGGCGUAGCAAUACGUCAGUGGCAGACGGGUGAGUAACGCGUGGGAACGUACCUUUUGGUUCGGAACAACCCAGGGAAACUUGGGCUAAUACCGGAUAAGCCCUUACGGGGAAAGAUUUAUCGCCGAAAGAUCGGCCCGCGUCUGAUUAGCUAGUUGGUGUGGUAACGGCGCACCAAGGCGACGAUCAGUAGCUGGUCUGAGAGGAUGAUCAGCCACAUUGGGACUGAGACACGGCCCAAACUCCUACGGGAGGCAGCAGUGGGAAUAUUGGACAAUGGGCGCAAGCCUGAUCCAGCCAUGCCGCGUGAGUGAUGAAGGCCCUAGGUUGUAAAGCUCUUUGUGCGGGAAGAUAAUGACGGUACCGCAAGAAUAAG